UACGUAGGGCGCAAGCGUUGUCCGGAAUUAUUGGGCGUAAAGCGCUCGUAGGCGGCUUGUCACGUCGGGUGUGAAAGCCCGGGGCUUAACCCCGGGUCUGCAUUCGAUACGGGCUAGCUAGAGUGUGGUAGGGGAGAUCGGAAUUCCUGGUGUAGCGGUGAAAUGCGCAGAUAUCGGGAGGAACACCGGUGGCGAAGGCGGAUCUCUGGGCCAUUACUGACGCUGAGGAGCGAAAGCGUGGGGAGCGAACAGG
rnacentral:rRNA from 1 species